AAAAGAACUUUGAAGAGAGAGUUCAAAAGGGCGUGAAACCGUUUAGAAGUAAACGGGUAAAGCCGCGAGAUAGCUGUAAAAAUCAAUCGAAGGACCGGGUAAUCGGUUUUCGGACUAUCGUCUUUGACGUCCGUUGGCCGAUUCGUCAAGGAACUCGUCUUUCUUCGACUCAUUUUUUACGGCGUACUAUCGCAACUGGAGCCAAUUCCGGCUGAAUGGCUGCGUUUGAAGACGAAACGAUUUUUUCGUCUCGCGACUAGACCGGCCAGGAAGCUGCGUAAUGGGCUCCGACCAACGUUUUCACUUGCGAUUAGCUCGCGUUACGUCGAGCUCGACUUGGCCGACUGGUUAGCCGAUUGAACUGUUGGUUCUUGCUCGCAGGGAUUGGCGAGGCUCGGUUGAUUAGUUCGGCGUGACUCGGUCGACUAUUAAAAUCGCAAUUGGUUAGCGAUAUUCGCAGCGGCGACUUACCCGACCCGUCUUGAAACACGGACCAAGGAGUCUAACAUAUGUGCGAGUUGGUAGGUUGAAAGAAACCUAAAGGCGAAAUAAAAGUAAAAGCUACGUCUCGUAGCCGAAAUACGAUCCCCGGUCUCUCGGGGCCGGGGCGAAGUAUUGUCCCAUCUGAGCGGUUCGUCCGCUAGGUGGAGAAAGAGCACAAAUGUUGGGACCCGAAAGAUGGUGAACUAUGCUUGAGCAGAACGAAGCCAGAGGAAACUCUGGUGGAGGUUCGUAGCGGUUCUGACGUGCAAAUCGAUCGUCAGACUUGAGUAUAGGGGCGAAAGACUAAUCGAACCAUC
rnacentral:rRNA from 1 species